GCUGGUGUAGACAGUUAAUGCAUUUGGCUGCUAACUAAAAGGUUGAAGGUUCAAAUCCAUCCAGAGGCA
rnacentral:tRNA from 1 species